CUGGCCGUAAACUAUGAACACUAGGUGUUGGGGGCAUCAACCCUUCCAGUGCCGAAGCUAACGCAUUAAGUGUUCCGCCUGGGGAGUACGGCCGCAAGGCUAAAACUCAAAGGAAUUGACGGGGCCCCGCACAAGCGGUGGAGCAUGUUGCUUAAUUCGACGCAACGCGAAGAACCUUACCAGGCCUUGACAUGUAGGGAAUCCUCCCGAAACGGAGGAGUGCCCUUCGGGGAACCCUAACACAGGUGG
rnacentral:rRNA from 1 species